rnacentral:rRNA from 1 species
GAAUCGCUAGUAAUCGUGGAUCAGAAUGUCACGGUGAAUACGUUCCCGGGCCUUGUACACACCGCCCGUCACACCAUGGGAGUGGACUGCACCAGAAGUGGUUAGCCUAACUUCGGAGGGCGAUCACCACGGUGUGGUUCAUGACUGGGGUGAAGUCGUAACAAGGUAGCCGUAGGGGAACCUGCGGCUGGAUCACCUCCUUAC